rnacentral:rRNA from 1 species
GGCGCAGCCUGAUGCAGCCAUGCCGCGUGUGUGAAGAAGGCCUUCGGGUUGUAAAGCACUUUCAGUCAGGAGGAAAGGUUAGUAGUUAAUACCUGCUAGCUGUGACGUUACUGACAGAAGAAGCACCGGCUAACUCCGUGCCAGCAGCCGCGGUAAUACGGAGGGUGCGAGCGUUAAUCGGAAUUACUGGGCGUAAAGCGUACGCAGGCGGUUUGUUAAGCGAGAUGUGAAAGCCCCGGGCUCAACCUGGGAACUGCAUUUCGAACUGGCAAACUAGAGUGUGAUAGAGGGUGGUAGAAUUUCAGGUGUAGCGGUGAAAUGCGUAGAGAUCUGAAGGAAUACCGAUGGCGAAGGCAGCCACCUGGGUCAACACUGACGCUCAUGUACGAAAGCGUGGGGAGCAAACAGGAUUAGAUACCCUGGUAGUCCACGCCGUAAACGAUGUCUACUAGAAGCUCGGAACCUCGGUUCUGUUUUUCAAAGCUAACGCAUUAAGUAGACCGCCUGGGGAGUACGGCCGCAAGGUUAAAACUCAAAUGAAUUGACGGGGGGCCCGCACAAGCGGUGGAGCAUGUGGGUUUAAUUCGAUGC